rnacentral:rRNA from 1 species
UACGUAGGGUGCAAGCGUUGUCCGGAAUUAUUGGGCGUAAAGAGCUCGUAGGCGGUUUGUCGCGUCUGCUGUGAAAACCCGAGGCUCAACCUCGGGCCUGCAGUGGGUACGGGCAGACUAGAGUGUGGUAGGGGAGACUGGAAUUCCUGGUGUAGCGGUGAAAUGCGCAGAUAUCAGGAGGAACACCGAUGGCGAAGGCAGGUCUCUGGGCCACUACUGACGCUGGAGA